AUUGAACGCUGUCGGCAUGCCUUACACAUGCAAGUCGAACGGCAGCACGGGAGCAAUCCUGGUGGCGAGUGGCGAACGGGUGAGUAAUAUAUCGGAACGUGCCCAGUAGUGGGGGAUAGCCCGGCGAAAGCCGGAUUAAUACCGCAUGAGACCUGAGGGUGAAAGCGGGGGAUCGCAAGACCUCGCGCUAUUGGAGCGGCCGAUAUCAGAUUAGCUAGUUGGUGGGGUAAAGGCCUACCAAGGCAACGAUCUGUAGUUGGUCUGAGAGGACGACCAGCCACACUGGGACUGAGACACGGCGCAGACGCCUACGGGAGGCAGCAGUGGGGAAUUUUGGACAAUGGGAGCAAGCCUGAUGCAGCAAUGCCGCGUGCAGGAAGAAGGCCUUCGGGUUGUAAACUGCUUUUGUCAGGGAAGAAAUCCCUUGGGAUAAUACCUCGGGGGGAUGACGGUACCUGAAGAAUAAGCACCGGCUAACUACGUGCCAGCCGCCGCAGUAAUAC
rnacentral:rRNA from 1 species